rnacentral:rRNA from 1 species
UACAGAGGUCUCAAGCGUUGUUCGGAUUCAUUGGGCGUAAAGGGUGCGUAGGUGGCGCCGUAAGUCGGGUGUGAAAUUUCGGAGCUUAACUCCGAAACUGCAUUCGAUACUGUGGUGCUUGAGGACUGGAGAGGAGACUGGAAUUCAUGGUGUAGCAGUGAAAUGCGUAGAGAUCAUGAGGAAGACCAGUGGCGAAGGCGGGUCUCUGGACAGUUCCUGACACUGAGGCACGAAGGCCAGGGGAGCAAACGGG